rnacentral:rRNA from 1 species
UUUGUAGUCAUCCACAUGAGAACCUUUCUCGGCCUUCACUGGUCGGUUGGGGGAUCAUGUACUUUACUUUGAAAAAAUCAGAGUGUUUCAGGCAGGCGUUUUGCAUGAAUACACAAGCAUGGAAUAAUGGAAUAGGACUAGGGUCCAUUUUAUUGGUUAUUGGACCAUAGUAAUGAUUAAUAGGGACAGUUGGGGGCAUUAGUAUUUAAUUGUCAGAGGUGAAAUUCUUGGAUUUAUUAAAGACUAACUUAUGCGAAAGCAUUUGCCAAGGAUGUUUUCAUUAAUCAAGAACGAAAGUUAGGGGAUCAAAGACGAUCAGAUACCGUCCUAGUCUUAACUAUAAACUAUACCGACUAGGGAUUGGUUGGGUCAUUAGAGCCCAAUCAGCACCUUAUGAGAAAUC